GUGGCUGGGGGUGAAAGGCUAAUCAAACCGGGAGAUAGCUGGUUCUCCCCGAAAGCUAUUUAGGUAGCGCCUCGUGAACUCAUCUCCGGGGGUAGAGCACUGUUUCGGCUAGGGGGCCAUCCCGGCUUACCAACCCGAUGCAAACUGCGAAUACUGGAGACUGUUAUCACGGUAGACACCCGGCGGGUGCUAAGGUCCGUCGUGCAUAAGGAUG
rnacentral:rRNA from 1 species